UUCUUUUCUUUCCUUCCCUGUAG
rnacentral:miRNA from 1 species